AUUUUUAUUUUAGAUUUUUACUAAGAGGCGACACCAUCGGUGAUCUUUCAUUUCUGUAUGAUAAUUGUUGGAAAUGACCAGGAAUCAAUUCAUUAUUCUUCUUUUGAUGGGAGCAAUGUUUCUAUGGCAAGAAGGAAAAAUGGAGUCUCAAACAAUUCAUGACAUCGCCAAAAGAAGUGUUGGAAAUACUGCUGCUGCAAAGCCCAAGACAGGAAAAGUAUCUGGCUGGGCAAGAACACGCGGCAUCUAUAACACCAGAGCCAAAAGACGCUGUAGAAGAAGACGUUGUGGAGGACAGUUAUUUUCUAACAUAAUUCCUGCAUUAAUACAAUGUAUUUUUAAUGGCACUUGUGCUAGAGGAAGCGAAAAAUAAAAUAGACAAUAUGUAAUCUUUUUCUAAUUAUAUAAAGUAUAAAACAAGUAUAAAACAAUUAAAUGCUUUU